UUGACUGGGGCGGUCUCCUCCUAAAGAGUAACGGAGGAGCACGAAGGUUGGCUAAUCCUGGUCGGACAUCAGGAGGUUAGUGCAAUGGCAUAAGCCAGCUUGACUGCGAGCGUGACGGCGCGAGCAGGUGCGAAAGCAGGUCAUAGUGAUCCGGUGGUUCUGAAUGGAAGGGCCAUCGCUCAACGGAUAAAAGGUACUCCGGGGAUAACAGGCUGAUACCGCCCAAGAGUUCAUAUCGACGGCGGUGUUUGGCACCUCGAUGUCGGCUCAUCACAUCCUGGGGCUGAAGUAGGUCCCAAGGGUAUGGCUGUUCGCCAUUUAAAGUGGUACGCGAGCUGGGUUUAGAACGUCGUGAGACAGUUCGGUCCCUAUCUGCCGUGGGCGCUGGAGAACUGAGGGGGGCUGCUCCUAGUACGAGAGGACCGGAGUGGACGCAUCACUGGUGUUCGGGUUGUCAUGCCAAUGGCACUGCCCGGUAGCUAAAUGCGGAAGAGAUAAGUGCUGAAAGCAUCUAAGCACGAAACUUGCCCCGAGAUGAGUUCUCCCUGAGACUUAAAGUCUCCUGAAGGAACGUUGAAGACGACGACGUUGAUAGGCCGGGUGUGUAAGCGCAGCGAUGCGUUGAGCUAACCGGUACUAAUGAACCGUGAGGCUUAACCUUACAACGCCGAAG
rnacentral:rRNA from 1 species